rnacentral:miRNA from 1 species
CCCUGCGCGGUUACGGGCGAAGC